AGAACUACCGCGGCGUGACGUCAGACGCCGAAGUUCUGGUCGCGUGCAUCAGCUCCUGUAUUAAAAACGCAGCAAAGAGCUCCAGGAUGGUGUGUUCGACCUGGUCCAGAUUGCGGGAGCGAGACGGGUGUGACGCGCAUGCCCAGGGACCGUCUGCAAAGUGCGUCGCUGAAAACACGAGCUCGACAAAAAAAUCAUUAGGUUCAUUGCUGUUUAACUGUGUUACAGAAACCACCUCGGACAAAGAUGUACUUCCCAUGGUCACACUACUCCUAUUAUUUUGGACAAUAAAUGAUUUAAAACAA